rnacentral:tRNA from 1 species
GUUUUAAUAAUUUAAAAAAAAUAUUAAUUUUGUAAAUUAAAAUUAGGAUACCCUUUAAAACA